AAAGAAUAAAAACAAAAAAAAAAAUUUUUCCUGAAAGUAAAAAUUCCCACGUUAUAGGGAUAAUCUUUACUUUUUAAUCACUGUACAAUUGUGCCUACCGGACCUGUAAUGAUUUGUUAGGGGCUCUCUUCCCUGACACAUAGCCCUUUGCAAACCAGGUGCUGGGCAUUUAAACUCUAAAACAAGAGUCAAUUGAACACAGGUAAACACCUUUCUGUUUUCAGCCAAACUCUUCUGACAUUAGCAAUGCUAUCCUUCAUUCCACAUUCUUUUAAAUCUGCCAAGAAUUUCUAGCAGUUUCCUGCCAACGUAUAACAGCACCCAUUUUUGAGUGUUCUUCAGGAAAAAGUUUACAUUGAUGUGACAUUGGUGAUGUUUGAUCAUUUCCACAUUCUUUUGUAUCAUCAUUCUUAUGAAUGGGCACAAAUAUCAAUGUCUUCUAGUCAGUGAGCCAGGUAGCUAGCUUCCAAAUUUCUUGAAAUAUCUUUCAAAUUUCUUACAGUAGUGAGCAUCUCCAGAGCGGCAUUGUUUUGCUGAACUACAUCAAUUGCUAUUCUGUCAGUUCCUGGAACUUUGUUCUUCACCAGUGUCGAUGCUUUGAGUGCAACUAGGACUUCUCUCUUCAAUAUUGUCAGUUCUUGAUUGUAUGCGACCUUCUGGAAUGGUCAAAUGUUGGCCAGUUCGUUGUGGUACAGUGAUGCUGUAUUCCUUCCGUCUUCUUUUGAUGCUUUCUGCAUCAUUCAAUAGCUUGUCUUCAAUACUGCAAAUCAAGGUUUCCGUUUCUUUCAACUUGAGAUAUGCUGAGUGCAUCCAUCCCUCACUUUUGGGAUUCUAACUCCAGGUGUUUGCACAUUGUGUUAUAGUGCUUUACGUGUCUUCUCCAGGCACCUUUGAAAUCUGUGCCACUCUUUCACAUCAUUUCUGCCCUUUGUUUUAGCCCUUCUACUUUCAAGAGUAAGUUUCAGAGCCCUUUUGUGACAUCCCUUUUGAUCUUCCUUGUCUUUUUAAGGAUCAUUUACUUUCUUCAUGUAUGAUGUCCUUGAUAGCACCCACAACGUACCUGGUCUUCAGUGAUUAGUGCUCAGUACAUCCAAUCUUGUUUAGAUGGUCUCUAAAUUCAGGUGGGAUAUACUCUAGGUUAUAUUUUGGCACUCGUUAAGCUAGUCAGAAAGUGGCAAGGUUAGAAGAGGUGUUAAGUGGAGGGAAAUUGGUGACAUGCAGAAAGGACACACUUCCCUAUCACUAGAAGAGACCAGAGAGCUUGAAGGCUGGGUGGAAAAGACAGGUAUUCAAACUACCCCCACAAUGACUGAAUACUCAUGGACACAGCUUGAAGUCUGGAGUGCUGGGAUGCAUGUCCCUGGAAGGAGGAAGGACACUACAGACACCAGCCAAGAGCAGAAGACCCACCAGAAAGCCAGCCUUUGGUGGAAAGCCCACCAUUAGCCUAUGCAAGGUCUAGUAUGAUGUUCUUCUGGGCCUUUUAGACUAGCUAAGGGCCCUUUGAACUUCUUAAGUAUACCCCUACAAUAAACUCUUUCUGUUCAAAUUUUUUCUCUGACUCUAUGAAUUUUGUCCCUUGCCUGAAAACAUUCUUCCAAAAGAGGAAUGAAGAGGCUCCUCCCAGAUCCGAAGUAGUGACACCCAACGCCACCCAUCCACGGACCCACACUUCAGCAUCCCAGCCCUCUCCACGAUGGGCAAGUCCUCUGCAAUCAGCUCUCCACUCCCACCAUCCUGAAGGUCCCAGGAAUAACCAGCUGGAAACACCGUUCCAGAGGAAAAACCACCACCCUGCACAACCUGAAACUAACAAGCUAAUGGUCAAUAACUGGACCUGUGAGCCACUGGAAGACCUGCGAGUCCUUUAAAAGGCCAGAUGAGUAUGGCCUACACAAUGAUUAUUUUCUUAUUACUUUGCAUUGGGCCUACAGCAACUCCGUCUUCUUUUAUUGCCCCACUACAAUCGACAGUUAAUCUGAGCAUAUUUGCCAGUCCCUAGAACGAGCAGGAGAACUGCGGGCCCAAGCUGCACAUGGAUGGAGCGCUUGGACAGACAUUUGGUUAUGGGGUUCCUAGGCCCCUUGAUAUCUCUAUUAUUCUAUAUCUUUUUGGA